rnacentral:rRNA from 1 species
AGAGUUUGAUUCUGGCUCAGGAUGAACGCUAGCGACAGGCUUAACACAUGCAAGUCGAGGGGCAGCAUAAAAGUAGCAAUACUUUGGUGGCGACCGGCGCACGGGUGAGUAACGCGUAUGCAACCUACCUAUCAGAGGGGAAUAACCCGGCGAAAGUCGGACUAAUACCGCAUAAAACAGGGACACCGCAUGGUGAUAUUUGUUAAAGAAAUUCGCUGAUAGAUGGGCAUGCGUUCCAUUAGGUAGUUGGUGAGGUAACGGCUCACCAAGCCGACGAUGGAUAGGGGAACUGAGAGGUUGGUCCCCCACACUGGUACUGAGACACGGACCAGACUCCUACGGGAGGCAGCAGUGAGGAAUAUUGGUCAAUGGGCGAGAGCCUGAACCAGCCAAGUCGCGUGAAGGAAGAAGGAUCUAUGGUUCGUAAACUUCUUUUGCAGGGGAAUAAAGUGCAGGACGUGUCCUGUUUUGUAUGUACCCUGAGAAUAAGGAUCGGCUAACUCCGUGCCAGCCGCCGC